GACGAACGCUGGCGGCGUGCUUAACACAUGCAAGUCGAACGGAAAGGCCCUGCUUUUGCGGGGUGCUCGAGUGGCGAACGGGUGAGUAACACGUGAGUAACCUGCCCUUGACUUUGGGAUAACUCCAGGAAACUGGGGCUAAUACCGGAUAGGAGCUACUGCUGCGUGGUGGGGGUUGGAAAGUUUCGGCGGUUGGGGAUGGACUGGCGGCUUACCAGCUUGUUGGUGGGGUAGUGGCUUACCAAGGCUUUGACGGGUAGCCGGCCUGAGAGGUUGACCGGCCACAUUAGUACUGAGGUAGGGACCAGAAUCCUACGGGAGGCAGCAGUGGGGAGUCUUGCACAAUGGGCGGAAGCCAGAUGCAGCAGCGCCGCGUUCGGGAUGACCGCCUUCGGGUUGUGAACCACUUUCGACUGUGACGAAGCGUGAGUGACGGUAAUGAAUAAGGAAGCACCGGCUAACUACGUG
rnacentral:rRNA from 1 species